AGUGAACGCUGGCGGUAGGCCUAACACAUGCAAGUCGAACGGCAGCACAGUAAGAGCUUGCUCUUACGGGUGGCGAGUGGCGGACGGGUGAGGAAUACAUCGGAAUCUACUUUUUCGUGGGGGAUAACGUAGGGAAGCUUACGCUAAUACCGCAUACGACCUACGGGUGAAAGCAGGGGAUCUUCGGACCUUGCGCGAUUGAAUGAGCCGAUGUCGGAUUAGCUAGUUGGCGGGGUAAAGGCCCACCAAGGCGACGAUCCGUAGCUGGUCUGAGAGGAUGAUCAGCCACACUGGAAGUGAGACACGGUCAAGACUCAUACGGGAGGCAGCAGUGGGGAAUAUUGGACAAUGGGCGCAAGGCUGAUCCAGCCAUACCGCGUGGGUGAAGAAGGCCUGCGGGUUGUAAAGCCCUUUUGUUGGGAAAGAAAAGCAGCAGGUUAAUACCCCGCUGUUCUGACGGUACCCAAAGAAUAAGCACCGGCUAACUUCG
rnacentral:rRNA from 1 species